UACUCUCUUCUCCCAAAUGAACAACAAAACACAGUAUACCUACUCCCUCUCCUCAAAAGCCAUUUCCUCUUUUCUUUCUCUCCCUCUCCCUCUCAUUCUCUUUCACAAUUCAUUUCUCUCUUUCCUGAAAAAUGAAGCGACCUUCUCUCGUACGCUCGAUCACUCAAGCCUCUCUCUCCAAUGAUUCAAACCUCAAACUCUCUCUCAGCACCCACUGAUUCCUUCUCUCUGUCUCUGUCUCUUAUAAUUACGAUGUCUGUCUCAAACCUCAAUCAUUCUAUUUGCUUUUGGAGCUGAUAUUGAUAUCAAAUUGCAGCGAGUGAGGACAUAUGAGCUUCAAAGAAAAAGCUCAACAAAACCGAAUAUGAUUUGAAGUCUAUUCAAAGUGUUUGACAGGUCAUUUCGAAGAGGACCAACCCCCCCUUCAAGAAGUCCUGUUUGACUAGAGAUUGUAUAAGUCUAUGGUUUUGAGAAAGUUGUCCUGAUCAAAGCGCUCAAGCUGCUCUGAAGCUUGUCUGCGAUCUUUAUGCUCUUGAUCGAAUAUGGAAUGACAUUGGCAUGUACUGCAAUGUUGAUUAUGUGGCUCCCAACAAAGCCAAGGCACAUAAAAAAUUUCUUUGAAAUAAAAUUAUUAUAAAACAAGGGAAAACAACGCCAGAAGCACAGUGUUGAAUCUGAGAUUUAGGAUGUAGACCUUGCUCUCUUUAACACUAUAAUCUAAAUUACUCUUGAAUAAUGAUGUUUUUCCAUUUCACAGGCAAUCCACAAACUGUCAGAAUAUCUAAGUUUCCAAGUGAGGAAUAUUGCAAAGGAACUUGUUGAUGCAUUUGAUCUUCCGGAUCAUGUAACAACUAACAAGGGCACCUAUUGCCAAGCAAUCAGGAGCUUACUCUCAGUACACAAUCUGUGGGAUUCCAAUAAAAUAAGGGCCCCAAAGAAGAUGAAUAUGUAUUUGCAGGAAUUAAUAUCAAAAUUCAUUUAAGCUCAUUGUUGAAA